ensembl:lncRNA
UCAUAUUCAAAAAAUGAUAAAAAAAUCUAUUUAAUUUUCAAUUUAAUUUCUGUUUUAGCUUUGAAAUUAAUGUUUUAUUAACACUAUAGUUAAUAAUGUGUUUGUUAUUAUAAGGAUCAAAAGCACAUUUAAUGCUAUUUUAUGGUAACUAAACAGAAGUAACUGUUCACAUUUUAUUCGCAUGCUCAUUCUUAGUGGGUUGUGUUUUGGGGUUUUGGUUUUUGAUCAUCAGAACUGCAUCCUGUGUAAGCUUAUAUAACGCUUUCAUUUCUAGCUAGAAAACCACCACAUCACACAUCGUUUUUUAUAACAAUCAAACAAGUUUUUUUUAUUUAUUUUUUUAACUAUGUUCAGAUUUGUCAUGUUGAGACCAAAGCUCAUGGAAGAACCUUCAGAAGACCCUUGAAGAGCAACUAAUGGAUAUAAAUCUCUAAUGUGGUUGUGACUGGAGAUGACAGAAAGAGAAGUGACAGAUAAGUUUGUUUAAAGAAAAAAAUUCUGCUUUUAUGGCUAUUUAUUUAUUAAUUUGUUUAUAAAGCCUGUAAUAGACAUGUAAUAAAUGUGAUGUUACAAUAUUAGACAAUAUUAGUUGUUAAAAUAAAAGUUUGUGACUCCUACUAAUUCUGUCCAAAAUAAUUAUCAUAUAUGCAUUUAAUAUAUUGUUAAACAAUUUAUGCUUAUUUUAUAAAGUGAUGUAAUUAUUUUCAUAAUUUUAUUUGUUAGCCAUCUAUUUUUUUUUCGUAUAAUUUUUUUUACUGCUAGUCUUUGGAGGACCUUCGUUAGGCGGCGCACUUGUUGUCAGUUGUGGAAAAGCAGUUGUUAUGGGUACAUUACAUUGUCUCCCUCAUCAACCCUCAGUGGGUCAAAUUAAGACCCCUGUCCAGUGUGCGGAGAACCCUAAAGGAUCAGGUGGAGUUAUAAUAUAUGACCAGAUGAUGUUCGCCAUGAACAAACAACACUUGGUGGCAGUUCUUCUCUCUAGAGGUGAAAAACUCUGUCAGACCAGUUCUGUUGUAAUGGCAAGUGAAGACAAGAAAGAGAAAUGAUUCCCAAGACCUUAACAUCUCACCAUUUAUACUUCAAAUAAAGGCAUUUUACCAUCAUUUGUGUCUUUGUGC